CCUACGGGUGGCUGCAGUGGGGAAUAUUGCGCAAUGGGCGAAAGCCUGACGCAGCGACGCCGCGUGGGGGAGGAAGGCCUUCGGGUUGUAAACCCCUGUCAGGUGGGACGAAACCCGGGUCGGUGAAUAACCGGCUCGACUGACGGUACCACCAGAGGAAGCUCCGGCUAACUCCGUGCCAGCAGCCGCGGUAAUACGGAGGGAGCGAGCGUUGUUCGGAAUCACUGGGCGUAAAGGGCGCGUAGGCGGCCGGGUAAGUCGUGUGUGAAAGACCGGGGCUCAACUCCGUGUACUGCAUGCGAUACUGCCCGGCUAGAGAAAGGUAGAGGCGAGUGGAAUUCCCGGUGUAGCGGUGGAAUGCGUAGAUAUCGGGAAGAACACCAGUGGCGAAGGCGGCUCGCUGGGCCUUUUCUGACGCUGAAGCGCGAAAGCGUGGGGAGCAAACAGGAUUAGAUACCCCAGUAGUCC
rnacentral:rRNA from 1 species